GAUGAAGGUUGAUGAUUACAACUGAAUGACUGAAUCAGUCCACUUACACAAUUAAAGAUGGUUGAAGAACCAUGCUGGAGACAGAAGAACUUGGAAAGUGGUGAGAAGAUGUUGAUGAUUACAACUGAAUGACUGAAUCAGUCCACUUACACAAUUAAAGAUGGUUGAAGAACCAUGCUGGAGACAGAAGAACUUGGAAAGUGGUGAGAAGAUGUUGAUGAUGCCUA